GACAGAGGAUGCAAACGUUGUUCGGAAUUACUGGGCGUAAAGCGUGUGUAGGCGGCCUUGCAAGUCGGAUGUGAAAGCCCCGGGCUCAACCCGGGAAGUGCACUCGAUACUGCAGGGCUUGAGUGUCGGAGAGGUUGGUGGAAUUCUCGGUGUAGAGGUGAAAUUCGUAGAUAUCGAGAGGAACACCGGUGGCGAAGGCGGCCAACUGGACGAACACUGACGCUGAGACACGAAAGCGUGGGGAGCAAACAGG
rnacentral:rRNA from 1 species